AGAACUAAUUUGCUAUUCGGUGACAUAAGAGGGGGAGUGCGCUUUGCUUUCCCGGGGUCUGGGGCUAAUUCUUCCUCUCUUACCAUAAACUCAGCUCCUCGAGCUAAAUGCAUAAAAGGGAGCGAGAGAUUUGAACCACUAGAACAAGUAUAUUAUAUAUAGUAGGUUUAGAGAGACGAGUAAGAGGAAAAAAACAAUAAACACUACAGCUCUCUCCAGCUAAUAUAUUAGGCACCACGAGAAAAAUAUUUGCCAAGCAGUGUUCGAAUUGAGGAAAGCAAGUCUACAUUGGGUCCUGUGAAAACUGGAAACUGGUUCUCAGAACCAACUCCAGGUAUUGACUCCUCGGUUUUCACAACUGAGUGGAAGAGGAACUGGUAUUGUCUCUGCUUUGAGGAAUGCCUAAGUUUGCACAGCUGCUACAUGAGGAAGCCUUUGUUCCGGAGGGAGGCAGAGACUCCAGGGCCUGGGGAAUCCUAACACAAUGUUCCACUGCCUCUCAUCAGUCCUGGCCAGCAGAUAGAUCACUCCUCCACAGACAGUAGCCUCAGAGGAAGAGUGAUGUCCACUCUUGGAUUUAAGAUAGCACCCAGCACCUAGAAGGCCUCAUCUGGGAAGUGUUGGAUCAAAGAAUAAAGGAGUGAGAUUGGGGAAGACACAAUAAGAAAUGAAGGCCUUAGAGGAGUCAAGUUUGGGGGAAGCAUCCUAAAACCUACAGCUCAGCAGAUCGUGUGAAGCAGUCAAGAGGCCUGCGGAAAUAUUCAUCUGGACCCACACACUCGCUCUGUCUGCCUCUCCCGCCCUGUCUGUGUGGACCGGUCUCUCGCUGUAUGAGAAGCCAAUUCUAAGAACAGCCUCUGGCUUUGACUCCUGAUUUGAGGCCAUUAGGUUUGUCUUGUGAUGUGGGAAUUCCAGGCUUACCUGUUUGAAGGAGGUAAAAUUCCAGAAUGGUCACAGGUAUGGGCUCUGGAGUUAGCCUGUUUGACUCAGCUCUCAAAUCCCAGCAAAUUGUUAGCUGUGAAUGACUGACUUUCUGCCUAAGUUUCCUGCUCUGUAAAGUAGGGAUAAUCAGCAUAGCUGUGUGGCAGUGUAAAAAAGGUAGAGUAUAAUUCCUGGCAUAGAGUAAAUUCCCAAGGAAUGUGAGUUCAUCUCAUUACAAUGGAAUGAAUGGGGCAUGAGCUCAGAGCCUGGGGCAGAACCAGGAAGGAGGCUUCCAGAAUGCAGAUCCUUUAAUCCCUUUAAAGCAAUAUGCAAACAGAAGUGUCUACCUCUGUGGAAGCCACCAAGCUCAGAGGUGUCAGUUAAGGGACAAAGGUCAUCACCUCUGAGUUACCCUCUCUCCUUGGUUCAUCUGGCACCUCUGUCAUCUCUGGCUAUCGCCACAGUUUCUUGUGAGAAAUGAUAGAAUCCAUGUCCUGUGAAGUUACACAUAGGUGAACCCUGGCCGUGUGGCUAACCUGCCAUCCCCUCUAAAAUCCCUUAGGGAUAGUGUAUGCUACACAUUUUAAUUUCCUGAAAGAGAAAAUAAACUAAUAAUCAAAUUCAGGAGGACUUAGGACUAUGAAAGAAAGCAGAUGUGGUGGGUGGUAGGUUGCAUCCUUCUCAUUUAUAGCCAUCCCCCUUUGUGGUAUGAGCCUGGAGCAUGGAGGCAGGUAAUUGUGGCUAGGAUCAAACCAUCAUGCCAAUAAUCACUCUUCUAUGCCAGGCUGGAGGGUUUUCAAUAAUGCUUUCAUAUACAACAAGAAUAAUUGUAACUCUCGUACCUCCUUCUCUUUUGGGCUACCAAAAGUUGCAGAAUUAUUAUGAUCCCCACUUUACCUGUGAUAAAACCGAGGUCCAGAGACUUGGAAGAACCUGAUCACAGUCACACAGCUGGAAUUAGGUCUUCAGAGUGAAGGUGGAGAGGCCCUUUCCCCUCCACAGCUGCACCCUCACAUUUUGUUUGUGUGAUCAUCAUACAAUACUCCAACUCCUUCGAGGUCCAGAAAGAAGAUUUCUUUUUUGUCCCACCUUUCAUCUUUUCAGGACAAAUCUGAGUACGGCAUUAACAGUGUUCUGGGAGUUCCUCUGUGAUGGCACACAUUUCCCUGUAUUGUGACCAUCUCCUGCAUGUCUCUCCCACGGGGGUGUGAUCUCCUGAAGGCCUGGGAUCUAUCCACCCAUCUGUGGGUGCGAGGCACCCAGCUCAGAGCCUGGGGAGUGGUAGAUGCUUAUCAACCGAAUGGCGAACCUCUUCAUGCUACAAACUCAAUGUCCUUUGAAUGUCUUUGUCUCUCCGAUUCCUAUCUGUCCUUCUAUUCCCAGCUCCAGGCUUAUGAUGAUAACCUUCUCUUCUGAGCUUCCGUGUAAUCAUAAACUCUCAGCUAUAUUCCUAGAGCAUAUAUUUCUUAUCUUUCAGCCUACAGAGUUCUUGAGAGGAGAGAUUGCAUCUGAGUUCCCAAUGGGUUCCUCAUGGGUCCCAGGUCCCUGCCAGUUCCAGGCAGAGUGGGUGCAUGGUUAAGUGCCUGUGCCACGCUCACAUGGUUGCCUGAAUUAUGGUAAGAGCCAUUGGGAUAGGUUGGUGGCAGAGCCCAAGAUGCUUUGGCAGAGACCCAGUUAGUAAGAGAAAGAAGGAGCUGAUAGCCAGGAGCUCAGCCCUUGCCUGGCCCAUCAGUCACCUCUUUCCUACCCACUGAGGCUGUGUCUCACAGAGGCUCUGCAGAUGGGGAAUUCCUUGAUGCCAGAGACAGGAUCCCUGAAGUGAUCAAGCUGCAGGGCAAAAAGUUAUCCCUGUAGCUUAUGUGUGUAAAGAACUACAAACCAGAGGAUCAUUGCCAGGAAGGAGAAAAGACAAGGGUAUCAUGAACCAGCUGGAUGUGAAUAGGACGCACUGGGAACCUGGAACACCAAGCUAGUUAAUUAGCAAGUUAGUGAGCCACUAAGUUAGUCUGCUUUAAACAAGGGAAGAAGACUGUGAUUUAAAAUAAAUUAAUCAGAAGAGGUAACAACCAACCAUUUCAUCAACUUUUCAGCUCUUUUGACCUAAUAAUUCUACUGUUGGAGGUUUAUUCUAAGGAAAUAAUUAAAUACUAGGGAAAAGGGUAACAGAAAAGAGGUAUUAUUGAUAACAGAAGUGAAUUAGAGGCAACUUAAAUAUCCCAUAAUUAUUUUUGAAUGCUGAUCUAAAUUAUAUCCACUAAAGUAAUAUUUUGAAGUCAUUGAAAUAUGUGUUAUAUUGAGACCACAUUAGUAAUAUGCAUUGUGUGAUGCUUUAUGGGAAAGAUCGGGAUGCAAACUCUUAUUUGUGCUGCAUGUCCAACACUGAAAAAAAUAUGCCUUUUGGGAAGACAGGAAAGAAUGAAAAUAGAUGAUUUGUAAAGAUAGUAAGCUUGUGGGUGGCUUUUUAUUUCCAUAAUCAUGGUAUUAUGUUUUUGUAUAAUUUUUUAAAACUUAUGUUAAUCAGAAACUUAAAAGAAUAACACCUUAACAAAAGAUGCAUCGCACCCGGCAGUCCUUUCAAAGAAGCUGAACAUUAGACAGGCUCCUUUUCUAUACUCAUUUUCCCACACAAGUCCAGUGUAGAUUUCUCUCACUGCUAGUGAAUUUGAAAUUAGGUAUGUGAAAAGUCAGGAACACUUUUGACCAGAUAGCUACAGAUACGGAUAGAGAUAUAGAUACUCAUCUAAACUUAGGUAUAAUUUCCCUUGAAAGAUAAACUUCUAAUACCUCAAAUGUCUGAUGUAAAAUUGUGCCCACAAAGGAAGAGUGGGGAAGAUAAUAAAUAUAUGGAUUGAAAUGCCCUUGCAAAUACACAAGAGCUUACAAAUCAAAGAGUCCAUGUUUAAGAGACCCAUGUAGAUCAAAGUUCUGGUCUUGCUUUCAAACGUUUCCCAGAGAUCCAGACACCACCUGUCUCACCCAAGUCCCUGGGUCACUUGCUUCUAUCAGUUAGUCCUGUUAAACAGUUCAGCAUCUGGAAAUCCCAGACAUCUUUCAGCUCACGUGAGAUAAGCAGUCCGUGUUCUCUGGAAAUACCAAAGUCAACAAUGAGACACAAAAACACCCAAAUACUAUUACAUCUUAAAAACGUCAAUGUCGUCACCAGGGGUCCUGUUUCUCUAGCUCUCAGAAAUUCAAGGUCUUCCCUGGAAGGCCCAACAUCAGUUUAUCUCCUGUAUCCACCUGCUUGAGAGAAUAGCAACUGGAAUUGUUAAUGAAGUUAUUAUAGAAAUACUCAUAAUUUAAAAAUGAACCAUGAAUUUUACAUAUCACUUUCAAACAUUAUUAUGGGAUACAUAUGAUAAAGUAUCACUAUCCCCCAAUAUAUAUAUCUAUAUAUCUAUAUCUAUAUAUAUAUCUAUAUAUAUCUUAUUACUUACAUUUCUACCAUUUUCACAGACUCUUAAAGUUCUAGUGGCCAGUGUUAACUUCUUCCAUCUUAAAAAAAAAUGCUGCAGUAAUUAAAAAAAAAAAAAAAAAAGACUGGAAAUGGUAGUGUGUUGCUCAACUUAUUCAAUUUUUUUCUUUAACAGACACCACAUCCUUAUCUAUAGUAGCUUAAAAAUAAAGUCUACAGAUCGAAGAUUAUUUAUACAUGAAACUUCUCUCUUAUAGUCAUUCAAAUAAUUUGUUUUCUCUCAUUUUCAUACAUUUUAUUGGAAUAUCAUUUAUAUUGUAUACUUGGCAUAGUCUUCUAAUUCAGAAAAAUUGUUAAUUUUUUUUAAAAAAACCUUCAAAAGUAUAAAAAGGCAAACUUGGAACUAUUGGUUGUAAUAUUCUGCUAGUAGUAUUAAUAGCAAGCAGCUAUUCACACUCAUUCAGAGGAAUACUGUAAAUUCAAAAUUAAUUUUACUUUCUACCAAAAAUCACAAUUCAGUAUUUCUUUGAGGAUAUUCAAGUUUUGAUUUUUCUUCCAGGGUACCUUGUAUCUUAUCAGUAUUAAAUCUAAUGGCUUUAACAGCUUUCUCCAUAAUAGGUCCAAGAAUGUUUUUCAGGUUAGAUGCAAUGUAUAUUAUAAAAUAAAGAGUCUAUUUAAAAAGAGUCUAGCCAGGCUCGGUGGUGCACGCUUGUAAUCCCAGAUACUCGGAAGGCUGAAGCAUGAUGAUCGCAAAUUCAAACCCAGCCUCAGUAACUUAGUGAGACCCUGAGCAACUUAGGGAGAUCCUGUCUCUAAUAAAACAUUUUAGAAGGUCUGGGGAUGUGGCUUGGUGUUUAAGCACCCCUUGGUUCAGUCCUUGGUACCAAAAAAAGAAAAGAAAAAAAUAAAUAAAAAAGAGAUUCUGUCUUUGGGCAGAACUCCUAAAUACUGAACAUAAUCUUUGAAGUGUCCCAAAAGUAGGCGAUUUUAGUUAGCACAGUUGAGGCUCAUCUUCCAGUAAGACAUGGAAUUUAUGAACCAUAUAUAUAACAAAGAGUGCUUCUGGAUUUUAGACCAAAUUCCAAUCUAUAUACCUUUUUCCUUAUCAUUUGUUUUAGUGUCAAUUAUAGGCUUGCUUUUGGCAAUCUCUGAAGUAAAUGAACAAAGCCCCAAAAUACUCUUUUAGUUUUUCAUUUAAAUUGAAACCUGUACUUUUUGGUUUUUUUUAAAGACGUGUAAAACCAAUAAAAUUAAUUUUAACAUUCCUGUUUUCUUCUUUGGUAUACUUCAUUGAUAUGCACAAUGGUUGUUAGUUGUUCAAUGUGACUUUUGCCCCUGAGGAAUCUAGUUAAAUUGGAUAAUAAAAAUGAAUUUUGUUAUUUCUUGUUUGUCUUACAUAUUUGGGCCUUUCAAUGACGCAUUCCACAGAAAUUCUAGUAGAUACAAAUAUUUUCCAUUUUUAAAUUUCCUGAGAAGAUUAAUCCAUUAGUGCUACAAAAAGCAUUACUGUGUUUGGUUAAACAAUAUUACAUUUUUAAAAAUUUCAUACUAACAUUCAAGCAUUAAGCAUUUGCUUUGUCUUUGAUAUAUACAGAUGACCCCCAACUUAUAAUGGUUUGACUUACAAUGUUUUGGCUUUACAUAGUGUGAAAACAACAUGCAUUCAGUAGAAAUCUUACUUGGAAUUUUGAACUUGAUUUUUCCCCCAGCUGGCACAUGGACAGACCAUAGUUCUCAUUCAGCCAGGUGAUCAGGACAACAAGUCUUCCUUGUUGCUAAUCGACAAUGUUUGCUAGGUUAGGUACAUUAAGUGCAUUUGCAACUUAUAAUAUUUUCAAGUUACAAUAAGUUUAUCAGUAUGUAACCUCAUCAUUAGUCAGUUUGCUCAUUUUCAUUUUUUCUAUUUUAAGGAAUUAGGCAAAUCACCUCUUUAUUUCUUUUUCUCCUCAAAUCUUCUUUCAUAAAAGCCUCUUGUGCUUUUCUAUAUCUUUCUUUUCCAUUU